UCAGAACGAACGCUGGCGGCAAGCCUAACACAUGCAAGUCGAACGGACAAUUGCUUAUAACCUUUUGGUUAUAAAUAAUUGUUAGUGGCAGACGGGUGAGUAAUGCGUAGGAAUCUACCUAGUAGUAUGGAAUAGCCAUUAGAAAUGAUGGGUAAUACUGUAUAAUCCCUGCGGGGGAAAGAUUUAUCGCUAUUAGAUGAGCCUACGUUAGAUUAGCUAGUUGGUAAGGUAAUGGCUUACCAAGGCUAUGAUCUAUAGCUGGUCUGAGAGGACGAUCAGCCACACUGGAACUGAGAUACGGUCCAGACUCCUACGGGAGGCAGCAGUGGGGAAUAUUGGACAAUGGGCGAAAGCCUGAUCCAGCUAUGCCGCGUGAG
rnacentral:rRNA from 1 species